rnacentral:lncRNA from 1 species
CCUGAUUGGGCUGUGUGCCUUUUAGCGACUCCCAGAGCCCCCAAGUCUGUGCAUUGAGCCAGGCUCACAGGAUUGCCGCCGUCUCUCCGCAGGAACCAGCAAAUCUGAUCAAGUUCAGAGGCGCAUUGAGAGACGCUUCAAGCAGCGCUUUAUAACCUCGGCUCUUUCACACCCUGCCUCCCAAUCAGCCCCGAGAAAGACUGCACAUUCUUUAUUUUAGAGUUUGCAAAGAGGGGGAAGAGAGGAAAAAACCCCCACCGGUAUAAAGUCUUCCCCACCAGUAACCCCAUCUCCCAUCAAACCAAUCACAAUUCACCCUCCGCAUCUCUACAGAACACUCACAAAGUUGAAGUGUCCUCUCUCCACCUCCACUUCUAUCCCCAGCUCCAGCUGCCGAGUUUGAGGAAGGGGAGGGGGCACAUCCUUCAAGC